rnacentral:rRNA from 1 species
UCCUACGGGAGGCAGCAGUGGGGAAUAUUGCACAAUGGGCGAAAGCCUGAUGCAGCGACGCCGCGUGAGGGAUGACGGCCUUCGGGUUGUAAACCUCUUUCAGCAGGGAAGAAGCGAAAGUGACGGUACCUGCAGAAGAAGCGCCGGCUAACUACGUGCCAGCAGCCGCGGUAAUACGUAGGGCGCAAGCGUUGUCCGGAAUUAUUGGGCGUAAAGAGCUCGUAGGCGGCUUGUCACGUCGGUUGUGAAAGCCCGGGGCUUAACCCCGGGUCUGCAGUCGAUACGGGCAGGCUASAGUGUGGUAGGGGAGAUCGRAAUUCSUASUGCRGCGGGNAAAUGCGAUUCYMUCAARUGGARYA